rnacentral:rRNA from 1 species
UACGUAGGGUGCAAGCGUUGUCCGGAAUUAUUGGGCGUAAAGAGCUCGUAGGCGGUCUGUCGCGUCGAAUGUGAAAACCCGGGACUCAACUCCGGGCCUGCAUUCGAUACGGGCAGACUAGAGUUCGGUAGGGGAGACUGGAAUUCCUGGUGUAGCGGUGAAAUGCGCAGAUAUCAGGAGGAACACCGGUGGCGAAGGCGGGUCUCUGGGCCGAUACUGACGCUGAGGAGCGAAUGCGUGGGGAGCGAACAGG